AGCAGCCGCGGUAAUUCCAGCUCCAAUAGCGUAUAUCAAAGUUGUUGCAGUUAAAAAGCUCGUAGUUGAAUUUCGGGGUUCUACCGUUGGUCGGGCUUUGUCUGUACUGGCGUGUAGAAUUUCUACCUUCUGGGGAACCAUCAUGUUAUUAAUUUAAUGUGGUGGGAAACCAGGACCUUUACCUUGAAAAAAUUAGAGUGUUCAAAGCAGGCUUAUGUCUGAAUACAUUAGCAUGGAAUAAUAAAAUAGAACGGCAUGGUUCUAUUUUGUUGGUUUCUAGGAUCACCGUAAUGAUUAAUAGGGAUAGUUGGGGGCAUUAGUAUUCAAUUGUCAGAGGUGAAAUUCUUGGAUUUAU
rnacentral:rRNA from 1 species